UGCUCAGCAACUCCUAUCCCUACCUUCACGUGGUAUCGGCCGGAAACUAGGAGCAACCUUAGGGAAGAUCGGGUAACCAACCCCAGUAGGAACUUUGGUCGUAGGCUGACAGGGAUGG
rnacentral:ribozyme from 1 species